UCAAGCUAAAAAGGGCGCAAGGUGAAUGCCUUGGCACUGGGAGCCGAUGAAAGACGUGGUAAGCUGCGAAAAGCUUCGGGGAGGAGCAAACAUCCAUUGAUCCGGAGAUAUCUGAAUGGGGCAACCCAAUGGAGUUCAUACUCCAUUAUCCAAUACUGAAUCCAUAGGUAUUGGAAGGGAACCGCCUGAACUGAAACAUCUAAGUAGGGCGAGGAAGAGACAUCAAACGAGAUUCCGUAAGUAGUGGCGAGCGAACGCGGAAGAGGGCAAACCGAGAGUAGAAAUACUUUCGGGGUACGGACUGCUUUUAAGACUCAAUCUGUUAACCGAACGGCAUGGGAAGGCCGGUCAGAGAGUGUGAGAACCACGUAGGUGAAAACGAUAAGAGCCGAGCAAGUUCCAGAGUACGGCCAGACACGUGAAACCUGGUCGGAAGAUGGGGGGACCACCCUCCAACCCUAAAUACUACCCAGUGACCGAUAGCGUAUAGUACUGUGAAGGAAAGGUGAAAAGGACCCCGGGAGGGGAGUGAAAGAGAACCUGAAACCUUGUGCCUACAAGCACAUAGAGCACAUCAACGUGUGAUAUGGUACUUUUUGUAGAACGGUCCGGCGAGCGAUUGUAUGUUGCGAGCUUAAGGUCUUAAGGACUGGAGGCGUAGCGAGAGCGAGUCUGAAUAGGGCGUUCAGUAACAUGCAAUGGGCCCGAAACCGGGUGACCUACCCAUGAUCAGGCUGAAGUGAAAGUAAAAUUUCAUGGAGGGCCGAACCGACCUCCGUUGAAAAGGCGGCGGAUGAAUUGUGGGUAGCGGAGAAAUUCCAAUCGAACUCGGAGAUAGCUGGUUCUCCCCGAAAUAGCUUUAGGGCUAGCCUCAUAUUAGAUACCCGGAGGUAAAGCACUGAAUGGCCUAGCGCCCGAGAGGGUAGCGAAGCCUAUCAAACUAAGAAUGCCGGAGUAUUGAUGUAUGGGAGUCAGACAGUGUGAGAUAAAUCUCAUUGUCAAAAGGGAAACAGCCCAGAUCUACAGCUAAGGUCCCAAAUUGUAUCUAAGUGGAAAACGAUGUGGAAAUACGCAGACAACCAGGAUGUUGGCUUAGAAGCAGCCACUCAUUUAAAGAGUGCGUAAUAGCUCACUGGUCGAGCGUCUCUGCGCGGAAAAUUUAACGGGGCUAAGAUACAAACCGAAGCUUAGGCUGCAUCGUAAGAUGCGGGGUAGGGGAGCGUUGUGUAAGCGGAGAAACAGUAGCGUAAGCGGCUGUGGAGUUUACAGAAGUGAGAAUGCCGGAAUGAGUAGCGCGAAUGUGGUGAGAAUCCACAUGGCCGGAAACCUCAGGUUUUUGGAGGAAGGUUCGUCCGCUCCAAGUUAGGCGGGAGCUAAGGUGAGGCCGAAAGGCGUAGCCGAUGCACAGACGGUAGAGAUUCCGUCACCACCAAAAGAGUUAAGCACAGGGACACAUAUGAAGUCUCAGAGCCGGGUGUUGGUUCCGGUAGAGAUCGAGGGAAAUUAGUACCGAAGUCUGAGAUGGAAGAUGGCGAGAAAAGCUGUGUGUAUUUCUGAGGUGCCCGUACCGCAAACCGACACAGGUAGGUAGGAAGAAGAUUCUAAGGCCAACGGGAGAAGGGUUGUUAAGGAACUCGGCAAAUUGACCCCGUAACUUCGGGAGAAGGGGUGCUCCAGAGAUGGAGCCGCAGAGAAUCGGCCCAAGCAACUGUUUACCAAAAACACAGGUUUGUGCUAAAUCGAAAGAUGACGUAUACGAGCUGACGCCUGCCCGGUGCUGGAAGGUUAAAAGGAGAUGUGCAAGCAUUGAAUUGAAGCCCCAGUGAACGGCGGCCGUAACUAUAACGGUCCUAAGGUAGCGAAAUUCCUUGUCAGGUAAGUUCUGACCCGCAUGAAAGGCGUAAUGAUUUGGGCACUGUCUCAACAGCCCGCCCGGCGAAAUUGUAGUACCGGUGAAGAUGCCGGUUACCCGCGACAAGACG
rnacentral:rRNA from 1 species